UGUUUGAUUAAAAUUCAGAUACACGAAGCUUUGUAUGUCAGUUAUGCAUUGAUUGCAAUUUUUUGCAGGUUUGGAUCCCGCUGGACCCGCUUAUUACUUUUUGAAUCGUCAUUUGAGUGCUUCCGAUGCCAAAUUUGUGGACAUUAUACAUACAGACGGCGGUGUUUUGGGAGAAGCUCAACCUACUGGCACUGUGGACUUUUAUCCAAACUUUGGUCAUGGAGUACAGCCGGGAUGUAAACUUGAACUAAAAGUAGAUAAUACAGCGUUGUGCAGCCACCACAGAUCCUGGAAGUUUUUUAUUGACUCACUUAAGGACAAAGAUGCUUUCAUAGGCGUUAAAUGUAGCAACGAAUUGCUCUACCGCAUAGGAGCGUGUGAUAAGAAUGAAAGGGCUGUUAUGGGUUACUAUGCUUCCCCCGAUACGAAAGGUGUAUACUACCUUCGCACAGGUGCAAGCGAGCCUUAUGGUUUAGGAGAAGCUGGAGCGCCAUACAAAUCUUCUUAAUCGCGAAGAAAUCUAUGGAACGGGUUCCAUGUCGUGAAUACAACUGUAUAUUAUUACUAUGUAUGUAUUAUUGCUAUUACGCUUGUGUUAUUGUCAACUUAUGACACCAGUGAAUAAAAUGUAUUUACAAAAAUGUAGAUAAUAAAUUAUUCAACGCUCAAGAAAAUGUUGUUAUUUU